rnacentral:rRNA from 1 species
GACGAACGCUGGCGGCGUGCCUAAUACAUGCAAGUAGAACGCUGAAGGAGGAGCUUGCUUCUCUGGAUGAGUUGCGAACGGGUGAGUAACGCGUAGGUAACCUGCCUGGUAGCGGGGGAUAACUAUUGGAAACGAUAGAUAAUACCGCAUAAUAGUAGAUGUUGCAUGACAUUUGCUUAAAAGGUGCAAUUGCAUCACUACCAGAUGGACCUGCGUUGUAUUAGCUAGUUGGUGAGGUAACGGCUCACCAAGGCGACGAUACAUAGCCGACCUGAGAGGGUGAUCGGCCACACUGGGACUGAGACACGGCCCAGACUCCUACGGGAGGCAGCAGUAGGGAAUCUUCGGCAAUGGACGGAAGUCUGACCGAGCAACGCCGCGUGAGUGAAGAAGGUUUUCGGAUCGUAAAGCUCUGUUGUAAGAGAAGAACGAGUGUGAGAGUGGAAAGUUCACACUGUGACGGUAGCUUACCAGAAAGGGACGGCUAACUACGUG